AAUGUAUCAUGACCUAAAUAAUUCCAAAUGCUUUCUUAAUGAGUUACAACUAAACAGAUUACAACUGAAUUUAAUAUAAGUAGGUCAGUGAUAUGGUUCAGCUCUGUGUCUCCACUCAAAUCUCACCUUGAUUUGUAAUCCCCCUAAUCCCCAUAUGUCAAGGGCAGGACCAGGUGGAGGUAACCAGAUCAUGGAGGCAGUUUUCCCCGUGCUGUUCUCAUGAUGAUGAAUGAGUCUCACGAGAUCUUUCAGUUUUAUAAGUGUCUGGCAUUUCCUUUACUUUCACUCACUCUGUCCUGCUGCCCUGUGAAGAAGGUGCCUGCUUCUCCUUUGCCUUCCACCAUGAUUAUGCUCCCCUAUCAUUCAGUCAUGGAGAGUUUUGAAGGCUGAAAAGUCCAAGAUCAAGGGCCCAGCAAGUUUGGUGUCUGGUGACAGCUGCUCUCUGUGCUUCCAAGAUGGUGCCUUGCUGCUGCAUCCUCCAGAAUGGAUGGAUGCUGGGUCCUCAUAUGGCAAAAGGUGGAAGGACAAAGGAGGCAAACUCUCUCUGUCAAGCCCUUUAAUGAGGGCACCUAAAUCUCAUUCAAUCACUUCGUAAAAGCCGCACCUCUUUAUACUAUUACAUUGGGUAUUAAGUUUCAACAUUCAAUUUGAAGAGAACAAAAACAUUCAAACCAUAGCACCAGGUAAAAAUAAAUACACAGGAUAAGAAAGGGUCAGAGGACCUCUGAGCCAUCUCUAAAUCUUACAGAGACCUCUCAGGACAUCCCAGGACCAGGACUUUGUGUGAGACAUGUAAAAAUGGACCAUGCAUGCUGUUAGCCUGCUUGUGGCUGCU
rnacentral:lncRNA from 1 species